ensembl:lncRNA
GCAUCAACAGAUGGGUUCUUUACCACUAGCACCACCUGGGAAGCCUGAAAAGGGCUCCAGAGAACAGCAAAUGCCAAAGAUCUGAGGCAAGAACAUGCCCAGCUUGAGGACGAGGCAGCGUGGCUGCGGAACAGACGCUGAGGCUAAAGGAGCUGGGAUGACAGAGAUUCCUGACACCGGGAAGAAGAGGACUAGGACUCCAGAUGUUCUUCACCUUCAUGAAACUGUCCUCGUGAAUGACGUCACCAGCAAGAAAACAUCCUAGCCACAGGGAUGGGGAGGAACUCAGACUAAGAAUGUACCUGAGUUAGGUGGGUAUGGUGUAGAUUAGGGCAGAGAAUCUCAGCCCUGCUUCCUCUCCAACAUAUCUGAGAAAGGAAAGUCACCUAUGGAAAAACAAAAUCGAAGGGAAGAUAUAUCUGGUCUCUGUGGCUUCUUCUUGGCUGGAGGUGAUGUGUGAUCCAGAUGUUAAAGCUGGAGUGUGAGAUUGAACCUGAAGAGAUCCUGCACAUGCUUAACUUCUGCUUUCUCUGAAUCUCUGCACCCUUCACAUGUCCCUCCAUAACAUUCAUCUGACUUCUCUUCUUGAGUUAACUCUGGUCCUUCCCAAGCCAGAGGGAGUCUCAGGUCUCAGACUCCUCUUCACCCCUGUUUUAUAGCUCCUUUAGUGCCCACGGAGUGUCUCACGUAGAACACAUGCUUUAAAAAUGUAUCCCCACAGCUAUAGAUUUAAAGAGAUUUAAGAGGCAUAUAAACAAUGAGGAAGGUGAAACCACAUGACUAGGGAUGCACAUUUGGGUGAUAACUUCCUGUUUCUUUAUGGUUUUAUGUCCUUUUUUUUUUUUUUUUUGGUCCUUCCUGUAAAAGUAAGGGCAGUGGUUCAUUUGGAGGGAAUAAGGAGGCCAUGAUUGGAAUUGAACACAUGCAAGUUUCUGGGUGGCUGAAGAUCUCUCUCUUGAUGUGCAUGAGUGAUGGUUACAGAGUAUUUUAUUAGUGUUUUUUUUUUAAAUUAUUGUUUUAUUUUUGCCUGUGUUGUAUCUUUGUUGCUGUGCUGGCUUUUUCUGUAGUUCUGGAAAGUCAAAGGUACUCUCUUGUUGCUGGUACUUGGGCUUCUCACUGCUGUGGCUUCUCUUGUUUGGAGCACAGGCUCUGGGGCAUAGCGGGCUUCGGUAGUUGUGGCUCCUGGGCUCUAGGGCAUAGGUUCAAUAGUCGUGGUGUACAGGCUCAGUUGCUGUGGGGCAUGUGGGAUCUUCCUGGACCAGAGAUUGAACCCACGACUCCUGCAUUGGCAGGCCAAUUUUUAACCACUGGACCACCAGGGGAGUCCUAUUUUAUUUUAAAUAUUUGUUUAUUUGGCUGUGCUGGGUCUUAGCUGUAGCAUGUGGGAUCUUAGUUCCUUGCCCAGGAUCGAAUCCCAGCCCCCUGCAGUGGGAGCAGAGUCUUAACCACUAGACCACUGGGAACUCUCUAAAGAGGAUUUUAUUAUACUUCAGUUGUUAAGGUGGUUUUCUCAGGUGAGUUUUAUAAUAUUUUUAUUGGUAUAUUCAAUGAACAAAUGAAUGAAUGGUUCUGGGCAUUGAGCAUGGUGGUUGCUAACAUCAAAAUAGAGACAUCCAGAUACUCUGUGCCCCAUGGUGGGAGCACACACCACCACCUGUGAGGUAGUCUUGCCCCAGAUUGAACCUGAAUCUGAUUACACCUCCAGAUCCAACUCCAGUUUAUAGCAUUGAGGAACAUUGUAAAUGCCAGUAUAGAAGUAUCAUCAGCAAACUCCAGACUGCAGAAACCUCUACAGGAAAAAUGAGGGGAGGAGAGAAGAUUUGCAGGGGGAACCUGUUGAUCAAAACAGACUUAAAAGGCAUGUCAGCCAAUCCCCAUAUGUGGACUUGAUGUGGCUUGUUUUAAAUAAAUUGUAAACAAAUAUUUAUAACAUAGGUAAGACAAAUUGGAAAUUUGAACAUUGAUGAACUAUUUGAUGACAGUAAGAAAAUCUUACAAAGUUUUUCAACCCUGAUAUUUUUGUUACUUUUUUUUUGGUAUUUUUAUUAUGAUUUUUAAAAAUAUCUUUUAGAGACAUAUAUUAAAAUAUUUACAAAUGGGGACUUCUCUGGUGGUCCAGUGGUUAAGACUCUGCACGUCCCCUGCAUGGGGGCACAGGUUUGAUCCUUGAUUGGGGAACUGAGAUCCCACAUGCCAUGUGACGUGGCCUAUAUAUAUACACACACACACAAAUGUAAUAAUAUGAUCUUGAAUUUGUAUCACAACAGUACAGUGAGGAAGUUGAAUAUGCACAUACAUGAAACAAGACAUAAAUUGGUCAUGAACUACUUGUUGAAUCUCAUUAUACUAUUUUCAGUACUUUAUUAUUGCCUUUUUGAAAACAGCUUUAUGAGGAACAACUUAUAUCAGUAAAAUCUGCCAGCUGUGAGUGUACAGUUUAAUGUAAACUUGUAGGGUUGUGCAGUCAUCCUUACGGUCCAGUUUUAGAACAUUCCCAUCACCACAGAAGGUUUCCUUGGGCCCUACCCUGCAGUCAAUGCCUGCUCCCAGUCCCAGCUGGGACUACUCCAUAGUCUGCUUUCUGUUUCUCUAAAUACGCCCUUUCCGGACAUUUCAUCUAACUGCAGUCAUGCUAGUCUUCUGUUCCUGAUUCUAGGACAUAAGUUGGAUACACUGACCUGUACCGCCCUGGCUCCCCCUCCCAUCACU